UUUAGUUAAGCUUGACUUGGUGGGAAUCUGGAGUUUAUUUGUCAGAGGGAAGUUAAAGGGAAAAGCAAGGACAGGCUUGCUGAGGGAGGAUCAGGUGUGUGUGAAGAGCCUCUGGAAUGAUUUGGAGAUCAUUUCUGUUGCAGCUGCCGAGCUCUGGAGGGGCUCAGGUCGGUCCUGGGCACCUUCCCACCUGGGCAGGUCCCUUUGGAAGGGCUGGCUGAGCCUCAGGAGCUGCUGAGAUGCCACAAGUGUCAGCUGAAAGGCUGCACCUCCUCAGAGUCCUGCUCUCCCCUGACUUUUCCUUUGGCUGAAGUUCCUCCAGAGGCACUGACAGGCUCCAGCCUUCCAGAAGAGGCCCCUGCCUUUCCUCCCAG
rnacentral:lncRNA from 12 species